rnacentral:lncRNA from 1 species
CGGCAGCACAGAAACCUGUCAGACGGCAUCCUGUCUCCUAGUUAUUAAAAACUCUGCUUUGCCCAGGCGAGUUCUCAAAUCCCUAUGCAGUCUGGAUCUUUGGCAUGCGGGAGGCAAAGUGCCGAGAUCCAUAUACCACCAUACGGGCUGCUACUCAUGAGCCUUUGCUCUAAAAGCUGAAAAUCUCCUGGCAGUCAUGCAAGCAAGAUGGUCAACGUCAGAUACACAAGGCUGGCUUGAGCAGUGUUCACUGGGGAAAAUUCAUGGACAGGGGAGCAGAAACAGAUGCUGAGAUCAUCUGGAGCUGGUUUGCAGAAAGAAAUGCCUCCCAGUUUAUCCUUCAG